AAUUGUUAACCUUAGUAGAUAGGCCGAUUCUUAUUAUACUAU
rnacentral:sRNA from 1 species